rnacentral:rRNA from 1 species
UACGUAAGGUCCGAGCGUUGUCCGGAUUUAUUGGGUGUAAAGGGAACGUAGGCGGCUAAGCAAGUUAGAAGUGAAAUCCUAUAGCUCAACUAUAGUAAGCUUUUAAAACUGCUUAUCUUGAGGUAUGGAAGGGAAAGUGGAAUUCCUAGUGUAGCGGUGAAAUGCGUAGAUAUUAGGAGGAAUACCGGUGGCGAAGGCGACUUUCUGGACAUAAACUGACGCUGAGGUACGAAAGCGUGGGUAGCAAACAGG